CCUACGGGAGGCAGCAGUGGGGAAUAUUGCACAAUGGGGGAAACGCUGAUGCAGCGACGUCGCGUGAGUGAAGAAGUAUCUCGGUAUGUAAAGCCCUAUCAGCAGGGAAGAAAAUGACGGCACCUGAUUAACAAGCCCCGUCUAACUACGUGCCAGCAGCCGCGGUAAUAUGGAGGGGGCAAGCGUGAUCCGGAUUUACUGGGGGUUAAGGGAGCGUAGACGGCAGCACAAGUCUGGAGUGAAAUGCCGGGGCUUAACCCCGGAACUGCUUUGGAAACUGUGCAGCUAGAGUGCAGGAGAGGUAAGUGGAAUGCCUGGUGUAGCGGUGAAAUGCGUAGAUAUUAGGAAGAACUCCAGUGGCGAAGGCGGCUUACUGGACUGUAACUGACGUUGAGGCUCGAAAGCGUGGGGAGCGAACAGGAUUAGAUACCCUAGUAGUC
rnacentral:rRNA from 1 species